GACGAACGCUGGCGGCGUGCCUAACACAUGCAAGUUGAGCGACGAACCGGGGCUUGCCCCGGGGCAAAGCAGCGAACGGGUGAGUAACACGUGGGUAACCUACCCCGGAGACCGGGACAACCCGAGGAAACUCGGGCUAAUACCGGAUGUGUCCUGCGAGCACGAGCUCGCCGGUCAAAGGAAGCUUCGGCCUCCGCUCUGGGAGGGGCCCGCGGUCCAUUAGCUAGUCGGUGAGGUAACGGCUCACCGAGGCAACGAUGGAUAGCUGGUCUGAGAGGACGAUCAGCCACACUGGGACUGAGACACGGCCCAGACUCCUACGGGAGGCAGCAGUGGGGAAUCUUGCGCAAUGCGCGAAAGCGUGACGCAGCAACGCCGCGUGGGGAAGAAUGCCUUCGGGUU
rnacentral:rRNA from 1 species